rnacentral:misc_RNA from 1 species
AACAAGGCGUACCUGCGGACCUGCGGAAGGAUCAUUAUUGAAACAUUGUAAAGGAAGGUUGAGCUGGCUCUUCACGGGCAUGUGCUCGCCUUUCUUUCAAUCUUCAUCCACCUGUGCACUUUUUGUAGGGAGCUUUGAGAAUAGACCUCGGGGUCUUAGUAUUAGGCUCUCUAUGUCUUCACACACUCUUGAAUGUAUGUCGUUGAAUGUCUUUUACAGGGACUUAAUUGACCCUUUAAA